UUUUUGCUAAGACCCCAGGCUUCCGUCGUUCCAUUGUCAACUCAUUCAGGAGUGGAUCUGUAGUGACCGACAUGACCCUCGUGUACGACAAGCAGUCUUCGGUUCCCAGUUCAAGCGACGCACAGGCAAUUUUCACCAGCAGUUCCACCUCCCUGAACAUUAUACCAGGCAGCAUCAGUGAUGGGUCAUCAACCACAUCAGGAAGUGCUCCCCGACCCACUUCCUUCUCUCUGGCUGCCUUGCCUCUCAGCUUGGCUCUGUUAAUGGUACAGCUGCUGGCUAGCUAAUA